rnacentral:rRNA from 1 species
CUCAAACAGAGGGAAGCAACACCGCGAGGUGAAGCAAAUCCCAAAAAAGUGUCUCAGUUCAGAUUGUAGGCUGCAACUCGCCUACAUGAAGUCGGAAUUGCUAGUAAUCGCGGAUCAGCAUGCCGCGGUGAAUACGUUCCCGGGCCUUGUACACACCGCCCGUCACACCAUGAGAGCCGGUAACACCCGAAGUCAGUAGCCUAACCGCAAGGGGGGCGCUGCCGAAGGUGGGAUUGGUAAUUGGGGUGAAGUCGUAACAAGGUACC